rnacentral:ncRNA from 1 species
GCCGCGCCACGAUUGCGCAAUCGAAAACCGGGUUCCCUUGCCCGGCCUGGCGCGGCUCUUCCCACAAGG